AUCAACCUAAUGCCUACCAACACAUUCUCUGCAGCCAAUGCUACAGAUACCAACAGUGCAACGAUUAAUAAUGCAAAAAAUAUACAGAAAUUUCCUUUAACAUGAGAUGCUUAUGUUAGAAAAAUCCAGAAAAUCAGUACAAAGACCUGACAGCUUGUUGGCUUAAAACUGGUGCACACAACAGAACUCACAGGUGAAAGUAGCACCAAGGAUUUGCUGACAUGCCGAGCACAAGGUAGUAGAUGCCGGCCUACAGCACUGUCUCCACUGAGUAGGUGUGGGGCAGUGAGUCACUCGUAGUGCCACCUGAGGGGAUGAUGGGGGAGCUCCAGUUUUUGUUGAGUGGGGAGAGGACAA